rnacentral:rRNA from 1 species
UACGAAGGGUGCAAGCGUUAAUCGGAAUUACUGGGCGUAAAGCGUGCGCAGGCGGUUUUGUAAGUCUGACGUGAAAUCCCCGGGCUCAACCUGGGAAUUGCGUUAGAGACUGCAAGGCUGGAGUCUGGCAGAGGGGGGUAGAAUUCCACGUGUAGCAGUGAAAUGCGUAGAGAUGUGGAGGAACACCGAUGGCGAAGGCAGCCCCCUGGGUCAAGACUGACGCUCAUGCACGAAAGCGUGGGGAGCAAACAGG